CACCUACGGCGCGGCUUCUCGAAGGAGCUUCUCAUCGCCUCCGCUUCGCAAGCCGUAGCCGCGACCUCCGCCCCCGGCCUCCGUCCUUCCCCUUCCUCCUCCAGCUCCUUGCUGGCGACGCGGCCACGCCACAGAUGAGGCCCAGCCCUGACUGCACGCGUGACGGCCCGGGGCGAGCUCGUCGCGGGCGCUGGCGUCUACGAGGGCGGCCCGCGCGCCGCCUCACUCCUCCUGCUUCGCGCGGGCGGCACGGGCCCAGCGCGACCUCGUCGCAGGCAAGCUGCACCCCCAUGUGGCGCGUCGUCGGGAUCGGCGCGGCCAGCCUGCAGAUUCGGCGGCGCCGCCCCCCGCAGGGUCUUCGCAGAGACGAGACGACCGGCCAAGUGCUGCGUCGCGGAGACUGUCGCGGCCCGGAAGCGGAUCGGCGGCCAGCAACUGCCGCCCGGUGGCUGUGGCCUUGAUGUCCGGCUCGUGCCCACGCGCUGUCCGGAGGUGUGCUGUGCUACCCGCCGAGCCGCCGCGGAUCAGGAGAACGAAGGAAAUGGAGCCACAGCGUCGAGCUGCCUGCCGAGCAGCCGCACCGAUCCGCCACGCCUUCCACUGGGCCACCGCGCAUCGCCGGGCCGCCGUGCUCCUCGGCACGAGCAGCGAGGCCACUCCGGGCCGCCCGCGACGCUGCGCCGCAGCUUGCGGAGGAGGAGCCGCUGCCUCAUUAUUGCGGAGGAGCAGCCGCGCCGAGCCGCCGACCCACCGCGCUCCUCGGCGCUAGCGGCGAGGCCACGCCAGGCUCAUCAAGGAGGGAGAAAUUACUGCGGACCUGGGCUACGUCGGCGCCUCCUGCUAAUGCACCGCCAUCGCCGCGCGUCACUCGCUGCCUGCAGGCAAAGGUCUGCGGUUCGAGUCCAUAUAUCCUCUUCCUAGCGUAAGUUGCCCGCUCGCCUUCCAGAACAUUGGCGGUGUGACGUUUUCGAGCUUGCCUGGGCACAGUGAUGGCGGCGGCCGGGCUGGGCGAUUCAGGAAUGACAGCAUGGUUGUUGACAGGACGAGCGUGGCCCCAUAUGCUAUCCUAUAGUUGCAAGUGCAUGUCAUGUGUUUGCUGAAAUGCCUAUUUGAGAUGUUCAGGCCCUACUAUCGUUUUCCAAAUCUACAUUUCAUCAGCAAAGAUGAUCACAGGAAUGCAUCUUCUCAUGUUCAGUUUCACUAACAGGAGAAAGCCACUAAGUGAACCUUUGAUCAGAACAGCAAUGGGAAAUGCCAUGUAAGUGGACCUUUACUGCAUUCUUGGAUGGAUCAUAUUUACUACUAUUUUGGUUCCACAAAUGCACCAAUGAUAAAAGUGUUGCCCACCAUAUUUUGCAAACAGUUUGCACAUGCUAAUUUGUCAAUUAAGUUCUAGCAUCGACUUUUACUGGACUUACAUUCCUAUGCCAAGCUCCAUGUAUUCUAAUCGUACUGCACUAGAUAAAGAAUCACUUAAAGUAUUCCUGUAGUGAAAUGAAAAGCAAUACCUUGCUCCGAAACUGCUAUCCUACUAUUUUCAGAUUGACAUAGUUAGACAUUUGUAGCCUAUUAGUCUACUUAUUUAUGAAACUCUGAAAUCUGCAACUUUACAUCUCACCAUGCCUUCUCAUUUUUGUGUUGUUUACAUAAACCUUCCUGAAAUUCUUCUGCUUCAAGUACCUCAUUUUUUUCAUGCCUUUGUAACUAAUUGCUGUGAUAUUACGUGUUUAAUAGAGAUCUUCGAGAUGUGAAGCAUAUUGUUUUAGCUUACGAGGUGCAGUCUUUUCUGCUUUAUUUCAACUGAAAUGCUCCAAAUUCUAAUUACUACAGGAGUUUCUCUCUCAAACCAAUCCAACAACUGAUAAAACAUUACAAUACUCGAUCUGUUGAUUGUAUGAGGUCCAGUAAUAUAGUGGAUAUAUUAACAUCUCCAUAGCAAAGCUUACUAUUUGACAUAUUAUUAUCCUGCUACUGCAUAAAUAUUUGCACAAUAUAUUAGAUACUUUCUUUCUCUCUCUUUUUUGGUUUGGUACAGGAAGAAAUAUCUGGGAGGCUUCUCACAUUUGGUCCUUAUCUUUCAUGGCCAAACAAGAAGGCAGACUCAAAAAAGACAUAGAAGCACAUGUACUUAAAGAAAAUGCUACUCAUACGUAAUUCACAGUUUUGGCAGACCAACAUAGACCUAAAAUAUUAUCUAGAACUGUACUAAUCAUAUACCGCAUAUAGUUUCAUUGUAUCAUAAAAAAUAAUUACUUGCAACAAAGUCUAAAUCUAAGUGCUGAACAGUUCAGCUUUUCC